GACGAACGCUGGCGGCGUGCCUAAUACAUGCCAGUUGAGCGCUGAAGGUUGGUACUUGUACCAACUGGAUGAGCAGCGAACGGGUGAGUAACGCGUGGGGAAUCUGCCUUUGAGCGGGGGACAACAUUUGGAAACGAAUGCUAAUACCGCAUAAAAACUUUAAACACAAGUUUUAAGUUUGAAAGAUGCAAUUGCAUCACUCAAAGAUGAUCCCGCGUUGUAUUAGCUAGUUGGUGAGGUAAAGGCGCACCAAGGCGAUGAUACAUAGCCGACCUGAGAGGGUGAUCGGCCACAUUGGGACUGAGACACGGCCCAAACUCCUACGGGAGGCAGCAGUAGGGAAUCUUCGGCAAUGGACGAAAGUCUGACCGAGCAACGCCGCGUGAGUGAAGAAGGUUUUCGGAUCGUAAAACUCUGUUGGUAGAGAAGAACGUUGGUGAGAGUGGAAAGCUCAUCAAGUGACGGUAACUACCCAGAAAGGGACGGCUAACUACGUG
rnacentral:rRNA from 1 species